rnacentral:rRNA from 1 species
GACGAACGCUGGCGGCGUGCUUAAUACAUGCAAGUGGAGCGACGAACCAGGCUUCGGCCUGGGGCAGAGCCGCGAACGGGUGAGUAACACGUGGGUAACCUGCCUCGAUGACCGGGACAACCCGGGGAAACCCGGGCUAAUACCGGAUGUGCUGUCCCCACAUCAGUGGAGACAGGAAAGGAAGCUUCGGCCUCCGCAUCGAGAUGGGCCCGCGGCCCAUUAGCUUGUUGGUGUGGUAACGGCUCACCAAGGCUGCGAUGGGUAGCUGGUCUGAGAGGACGAUCAGCCACACUGGGACUGAGACACGGCCCAGACUCCUACGGGAGGCAGC